AGCGUAUAUUAAAGUUGUUGCAGUUAAAAAGCUCGUAGUUGAAUUUCGGGGUCAGUAGGUUGGUCAUGCCACUGGUAUGUACUGGCCUCACUGAUUCCUCCUUCCUGAUGAGCCGUAAUGCCAUUAAUUUGGUGUUGCGAGGAAUCUGGACUGUUACUUUGAAAAAAUUAGAGUGUUUAAAGCAGGCUAACGCUUGAAUACAUUAGCAUGGAAUAAUGAAAUAGGACGUUCGAUCUUAUUUUGUUGGUUUCUAAGAUUGACGUAAUGAUUAAUAGGGAUAGUUGGGGGCAUUAGUAUUCAAUUGUCAGAGGUGAAAUUCUUGGAUUUAUUGAAGACUAACUACUGCGAAAGCAUUUGCCAAGGAUGUUUUCAUUAAUCAAGAACGAAAGUUAGGGGAUCGAAGACGAUCAGAUACCGUCGUAGUCUUAACCAUAAACUAUGCCGACUAGGGAUCGGAUGAUGUUAAUUUUUUAAUGACUCAUUCGGCACCUUACGGGAAAC
rnacentral:rRNA from 1 species